rfam:Danio rerio chromosome 4, GRCz11 reference primary assembly.
GCUUUGGUGGUUCAGUGGUAGAAUUCUCGCCUCCCACGCGGGAGACUCGGGUCCGAUUCCCGGCCAAUGGA